AGGCAGCACUGUUGACGACUGAUUAGAUCCUCUGCUUCACAGUUUUGAGGUCAAAUCCGAGAACAGAUCCCCGCCCCGCCUGUGUGGAGUUUGCAUGUUCACCCCACGACUACGUAGGUUACCCAGUGCACUCCGGUUUCCUCCCACAGCCCAAAACAUGCACAGUAGGUUAAUUGAAUACUCUAAAUUGCUCGUAUGUGUGAAUGUGAGUGUGAAUGGUUGUCAUUUUAUAUGAGCCCUGCAACUGACUGGCAACCCCACCUCCUCCCGAAGAUAUCUGCGAGAGGCCCCACCACACCUGCGGCCCAUAUGAGGAUAAGUGGCUCAGAAAAUGGAUGGAUUGAUGUCUGUACCUUGAUGAAUGUAACAGCAGCAUAAUUUUAACUGAAGAUCAGCAUACAUGGGGGGCUGUUUUAAGUAAAAAAAAAAAGGACCAGAGAGAACUCAAACAGGAAGAGAUGUCUGUCACGUCCCUUUCGGAUCAGUGAGCGUGGAUCCCAAACCUGGAAACUGUCUUGCAGGAUCAGCUCACCUUGCACCUCCAAGUUUUCCUCAAAACCUGGUUGGUCCAAGGUCUGAAGAUGCAUUUCCUCUCAUGACCUCUCUCCUGCAGAGCUCUCGGUGUUAGCUGGGAUUGCCUCUGGCACUCUCACAACCGUUGUGAGGACAAGCGGCUUGGAAAAUGGAUGCAUGCAUAUGAUAAAUCGGGUGUAGUAAAUGCUGGGAGAGCAUCCCUGCAUGCGCACAGCAUGCUUAGUGGCACUAAGGAUGUAAAUAGCGUUUUAAGUGCAUGUUUUGUGUCAAUUAUUUCUUCAGUAUUUGUUUUAUUUGUUUAACUAUUUGCUAGUUAUGCUAUUCUGUUUGCUGUGGUGUGAUAAUUUUAGUUUUGCUAUGACACUGUGAUGUGGCUGUGGAGUUUUUGACCAACUUAUUCAUUAGAACACUAGCGGGAGAGAAGAUGCAAGAAGAAUGGAAGAAAAGUGUGCUAGUCCCCAUUUUUAACAACAAAGGCGAAGUUCAGUACUGUGGGAACUAUAGAGGAAUAAAGUUGAUGAGCCACACAA